CCUACGGGCGGCAGCAGUAAGGAAUAUUGGUCAAUGGACGAAAGUCUGAACCAGCCAUGCCGCGUGGAGGAUGAAGGUCCUCUGGAUUGUAAACUUCUUUUAUAUGGGACGAAAAAAGGCCUUUCUAGGCCGUCUGACGGUACCAUAUUAAUAAGCACCGGCUAACUCCGUGCCAGCAGCCGCGGUAAUACGGAGGGUGCAAGCGUUAUCCUGAUUCACUGGGGUUAAGGGGUGUUGAGGUGUGUGUAUAGAAAUCUCCGAGCUUAACUUGGAAACUGCCAUUGAUACUAUUAAUAUUGAAUAUUGUGGAGGUUAGCGGAAUAUGUCAUGUAGCGGUGAAAUGCUUAGAUAUGACAUAGAACACCAAUUGCGAAGGCAGCUGGCUACACAUAUAUUGACACUGAGGCACGAAAGCGUGGGGAUCAAACAGGAUUAGAUACCCCAGUAGUC
rnacentral:rRNA from 1 species